GGCGGCGGUUCCCUGGCAGCCAGAAACUGUGCAUGCACAUCUUUUAAGGCAUUGCCGUCGGCUGAUAGAUCGCCAGUCCGGGAUCCGCGGGAGCUGCCAGCAGUGCGUUCGUGUGUGCGGUGCGCUGCCCCUCUGGUUCCUGCCGCCGCCGACGCCAGUGCACGGCAGUGCACCGCGAACAAAACGGCAGGCCCCCAGGACUGAGCAGCAAGAGCCGCUGCCGUGGGACUACACCAGCGAGUUAGGUGCCAGACAAUGCAUUCUCGCAAUGGCAUAAUUGUUCUCACAGUCCUGGCCACACUGCUGGCGUCAGCAGUUGGCCAAGGAAUCUUCGGCGGGCAGCUGCCUCCCAGUCGACCAGGAAGACCUCAAAGUAUAACUGGCAUUAUCAACCUGCUGCGUUACCAGAACCAGCCGUGCGAAGGUCGCAACAACCAGAAUGGAACUUGUGUCAGUGAACAGGACUGCAUUGACCGGAAAGGAACGGAAGUCAACAGAUGCGCCAACGGCUUCGGAGUUUGCUGCUACGUGAGCUUCACGUGCGGCAAGUCUACGAGCGACAACGAGACGGAGUUCGUGAACCCAAACUACCCGAACGGCGAGAACGGCACGGACACCUGCCAGGUGACAAUCGAGAAGCAGAACAACGUGUGCCAGCUGAGGCUCGACUUCCUCGAGUUCAGCCUGGCCCAGCCCGACGAGAACGGACAGUGCAUCACCGACUCCUUCAUGGUCCGAACCACGGUCGGCGAGCGCCUGCCCAUUCUCUGCGGAGAGAACGCGGGACUGCACUUGUAUGUGGACAUGGGCAGAAGUUCAGGCAAUCCUGUCGUGCUAAGCGUAGUCAGUAAUGGGGACAAGAUGACAAGAAGGUGGCGUAUCAAGAUCAGCAUGGUGCAAUGCAACAGCCUCGACAUAGCUCCUGCCGGUUGCCUGCUGUACUACCGAAGUCCGAGUGCCAUAGUGCGAAGCUUCAACUACGGUCCCAUGGUAGAGCACAGAGUUCGCUACUUAAGCAACCUUCGCUACUCCAUAUGCAUCCGAAUGGAGGAGAACUACUGCUCCAUCAAGUGGGAGACCGAGUCCAACUCGUCCUUCUCUUGGGGCAAGCCCAUCGACAGGGGCGCCAACGGCACCAUCUGCAACAUGGACGACUUCGUGGGCAUUGACCAGGGCUCGACGCUGGGCCUAGGUCCGGGACAGGAUCGCUUCUGCGGUACUAGCCUCGGCGAGGAGAACGUCAUCAUAUCCAACAACAAGCCAUUCACGUUGAAAGUGAAAAGCAACCACGCCUCGAGUGACAACGCCGCAAACGGCCAGUACGGCUUCUCCUUACGCUACACGCAGCUACCGUGUGUCGUCUAGCACGAAGCUGAGCCAAGCUCUUCGAGUCACCGCAUUUUCCUGUCAUCCUUACACGGAUACCACCCACUCUUCUCUUAUCUAUUCUAUCUUCGUGACACCAACUGGACGGAUGAUCUGGCCCGGUGAUCGUUUCGAGAAGCCGGCUGAGCCUUAACUCAUUUACCAAGCCGACGUCAUCGAUACCAUCUGUAUAGGAACGGUUGUAUUUAUUGCGCCAACAUAACUCCACGUCGUCCCCCCUUGACUGUUCAAUGUGCACUGACAUGUCCCUUUUCUACGAAAUGUUGUCCCGUCCUCUCGUACCAUUUUCCUUCCACGUUCCUCUCAGCAUUUAUAAAUGUACUGAACCAAGACGUUGAAAGAAAUCAAAUAUUUUUCUUCGAGACAAAAUCUUAGCAAGCACAUCAAGCUAAUCGUGUUCCACGAAUUUUCGCGGUGUCUGAAAACAUAAAACUAGGAGAAAUUCACAUGCACGUCAUGAUAUAUAUACAUGUGCACUGCAUCAAACAACGUUAUGUUCUUUGGAAUUCUGAACGACAAAACGCAGCGAUGCGAUUUUAAAAGAUUAUCCGAAUAACCGCGAUGCAUGCGCGAAACGGUGCUUCUGUUUUACUGUAGCUGUUUUUUUUUCUGUGUCAAAUGUCUACCAUCCAUCAUCAAGCGACGCAGUAUUUAAA
rnacentral:misc_RNA from 1 species